CUCUAGUCAAGAAAUCUCUGUGACUUGGUGUAAACAAAGUCACGCGUGUCGGUGUGUGGCGGGCGUGGGCGAGGCAUUUUGAGGGCGGCACCAGCGCGGCCCAGUGGCGGGAGGCGAGGCAGAGGGAAGGAGAGUCUGGCACAUGUUGAGGGACUUCCCAGUACCCAAGCCUAAGCCGAGUGCGUCCUGAUGCAGCGCGAUGCCAACCUCCUGCUCUGCGCGAGACUGUAGGAGCAGGAAGACUGGGGACUGCAAGCUCACCUUCCACAUCUUCCCCAAAGACCCUGAGCUGCAGAAGAGAUGGAUUACCGUCACUGGCCGCAAGAACUGGACGCCAGGUCGCUACGGCAGGCUAUGCUCUCAGCACUUUGAGGAGAAGUGUUUUGACCGCACCGGCCAGACCACCAGACUCAGGGCCGGGGCACUGCCAACCAUCGGGAAAUAUGUCCCCAGGAACAGAAAGUUUCCAACCGAUAACUACCGCAAAAAACACCACUUGCCCGCCAACCACCACCGCCUACGCACUCACACUCACCA